GCCUUGAAGGCUCAUCGGACAGAGCGCCUGGUCUUGUAAAUCAGGAGAGAGGGUUAAAGUCCCUCUCAAGGCU
rnacentral:tRNA from 1 species